UCGGGAAUUUUGGGCAAUGAGCGAAAGCCUGACCCAGCAACGCCGCGUGAAGGAUGAAGUAUUUCGGUAUGUAAACUUCGAAAGAAUAGGAAGAAUAAAUGACGGUACUAUUUAUAAGGUCCGGCUAACUACGUGCCAGCAGCCGCGGUAAUACGUAGGGACCAAGCGUUGUUCGGAUUUACUGGGCGUAAGGGGCGCGUAGGCGGCAAUUCAAGUCAUCUGUGAAAUCUCCGGGCUUAACUCGGAACGGUCAGAUGAUACUGCUUUGCUAGAGUGCAGAAGGGGCAAUCGGAAUUCUUGGUGUAGCGGUGAAAUGCGUAGAUAUCAAGAGGAACACCUGAGGUGAAGACGGGUUGCUGGGCUGACACUGACGCUGAGGCGCGAAAGCCAGGGGAGCAAACGGGAUUAGAUACCCUGGUAGUCCCUGAGCGGGCUGGCAAGGCGCAU
rnacentral:rRNA from 1 species